AGAAUAAGCUGCUUGGCAGCAGAUCACUGCUGACUAUAAUCUCACAGCCCUUUCCUCCUGUAGAAGCGUACAAAAUGAAGGAUUGAUAGUUUAUUUGACUAAGAAGUUGUUCAUCCUAACUAUUCUAGGAUUUCUAACUUGGGUAGCUUGUGCCUACAACAGUGUGAGCAUUUCACAGAAGAAAAAACAAGUGUAUCGAGGCAGUUAUUUGCCAAAGGUGACAUGAUGAGUCAGCAGCAGAGCCAAGAUUAGAGUACAGCGUUCAGACUGCCCAUCCCACAUGGGGCUCACUAAACCACUGCUCCUCCUGCAGCCUCCAGGGAAUAAAGUUCAUUUAGUUAGGUGGUAAAUGCUCAACUCCUGCCCUUGCACUUCACCUUGUUAUUUAUCUAAGUUUUGGCAGGCAUAAUUGUUUGUUGCCAAGGAAGACUACAGCUCACGAGAAACAACAAAAAAAGCAUUGAUCUUAUCUGUGGAAGAAAGGACACUGCAACAGCAAAGUUUGAGAGAACAAGAUCAGCAGUCUGCACUGGGAAUGUAGGUUGUAUGUGACGCUGAAAUUGCUUGAAGUGAUUUUUGACAAGUUAGCUUCUUUGCCUCUUCGUAAGUAAGAAACACAGAGUAAAAGACGUGUAAAGCAAAGAUUUGAGCACAGCAACUGAUUUUAAAUGUCACUUUUCUUCAAUGUGUAAAGAAAGUGAUGUGUGUUUUUAAAAUCCAUUUAGCAAAUUAUGCAGCACUAGUGUAUUUUCUUCUCCUGGCAUACAUGUAUUUGGUAUUCACCUUUGCUCAGGUAACAAGAAGCUUGGAAAGCCAGUCCCGAGUAGUGCUGCCAGCAGUGAGUGAUGCUGCAUUACAUAGGUGCAGGAAGUGUUCUGCCUUCACUGGGCUGUUGUAAUGAAGUAAUCACAGUUUAGGAGUUGCUGUUGUCACUGUGGUGCUUCAGUGUCUUGUCAUAUUAAGUAUAAUGAAAGUGGAAAUCUUGCUGGUUUCCAGUAUUGCUGCAGCUUUUCUUUAGAGUUGUUCUUAGGAGGAAUUUUCUGUAAAUGAUCCCAAAAUAUAACUUUAUUUUCCUGCUCCUGGCCAGCAGCAGCCUGAUAUACUUCCUUGAAAAAGCUUCAGAUGCUUAACGAUGAGUCAGAGAUUUUUGUAGUUUGCCCGUUGGAAAUUUGUCCACUGUGUUACUUUUUAUUUUUUAAAGGAAUUGCUAAAACUUCAUUGAUUGUUUUAGUAAAGGAGUUUCUGAUCUAGGGUACCUAUCUAUUUAUCUAUCUAUCUGUCUAUUUUUUUGUUUAUUGUCUUCCAGCAUUCAGGAUGUUCAUAGAUUAUGUAAAACAGUGUAAACUGACACAGUAGCUGCUGGAGAUUAAUGGUAUUUCCAAAAGCCCUCUGCUUGGUUCACAGGGCUCAGAGAAGGCUCAUGGAGCAGAAAGGCUAGUGAGUGCUAAGAGGGCUGGUCUCUGGGAGACUGCAAGCAGCUAAGAACUAUCACCACCAAGCAACCUCUUGAAGACAGCAGAACCCAAGAUGGAGUGAGCACUACAAAGCAGGUGACCACCAGGAAAGAAAAUGUGUGACACCACAUUGGUCUCUGUCAGUGGGGUACUUUCCUACUUGGAAAGAACUUUCCAUGAGAAAGUCUGGAUGGCUGCAGUACAAGUUCUUAUAAUAUCCAGAGCCAAACUGUAAUUUGGUGGUACAUAUAACAUAGUAUGGUAUUAAGUGUGGUAUCUGUUUCUAUAUGUAUUUGAAUGCACAUGGCAGUGCUUUUUUCUGUGAUGGGUGAUGCAGAAAUGCUUGUGCUGGGCAGGAAAUGCAGCCAGAUAUUCUAGGAAGCCUCCAUGUUAGCCUAAGGCAGCUAUAAAAAGAAAAUGGGGUGCUGCUUAGAUGGUUUAAUAGUAAGGACUGAGUUACCAUUACUGGUCAUGUUUCAUCGGCUUUUUGCAUUUCUAUCUCCAAGAAAUAUAAAGGAUUCCCUGAGAGCAGGACACACAAGAAGCUUUAAGCCCUUAGAAUGUAAAUAUUUGUGAAGCAGAUGGUGAGCCCCGAGUAUUAGGGUAAACAUCAAUUUUUCUGUUUUAUUCUCAUAUGCGAGUGUAUUUUAUUCAGACCUUAAUCUUUGUGCUGUGUAACUGC
ensembl:lncRNA